GUGGGAAGGCGUGCAGCCAGAAGUCAGGCCUAAGGAAACACCGGACAACUCACACAGGGGAGAAGCCGCAUGAAUGUGAUGAGUGUGGGAAAGCGUUUAGCGGGAAAUCUGGCUUACAAUUACACCGGAGAACUCACACGGGGGAAAGACUAUAUAAGUGUAAUGAGUGUGACAGAGCCUUCACCUACAAAUCAAUCCUCAGAGGACAUCAGGAGGGUCAUCAAAGGGGGAAACUCUAAAUGUGAUGAAGGUGAGAAAGCUUUCAGCGAGAAAUCUGGCUUAAAAUUGUUGCAGAGAACUCACCCGGGGGAGGAACCAUAUGAAUGUAGAGAGCAUGGCUGAGCCUUUGCCUCUAGAUCAGACCUCACAGGACGUCAGGAAGCUCCUACAGGGGAGGGAUGUAUUAAUGCGAUGAACGUGGGGAAGCUUCCAGCCAUAAAUCGGACUUCAGAAAACAUCAGGGGACUCUCACGGGUCUCAGCUGGAAGCAUCCCAUAUUCCAAAAGGCGGUGUCUAGUUACCAAGCAAGACUUGUCAAGAAGCGUCCGGAAGCUACCCUGUGACUGAUGAGUUCAAGAAAACACGACUGGGUAAUUACGAAGUGGUUUAUUAUUGAUGCUUGUUGGUAACUUUUAAUUUUUUAUUAAGAUAAAGUAUACAUAAUAUAAAAUUUACCAUUUUAA